AUAAUAGUGUUUUUUUUUUCGAUAGAUGAAAAUGUAAUAGCACACCUGCCUAUGCUAACAGUAAACAGUGAUAAGGCUCCAGUGAAAAAUGAAACGAAAAAGAUGCAUUCAGAUAAAUUCAGAUUCAUCAAACUAAAUUACAAAGAUGCCAUCUUGUAUAAAGAUCAAGUUUUCACGAAAGCUUCGUCGCGUUAUAUCUGGUACUGCUCGGGCCGAUCUCAGUAUGGAUGUAACGCCAGGCUGGUGAUGAAUGACGAAGAAAAAAUAGUUGAGGUCUAUGCAAAACAUAAGCACCCGAAACCUAUACUUAAGAAGUUGCCUGACGGAGCUUAUUACAGGGUACGAACAAGAUAAUAUGACAGAUAAGAGAAGCAGUCUACGAUCUUGUAAAUGGUCAUCCCUUAAAAAACCUCUUUAGUUUGUAAAAAUUUAUUAUAAACCUUGAAUUACUGUAAUGGGAUAAAAAAUAUUUUAUAUCCAAACGUAUUUACAAUUUUGACAUUUAUUAUAUCAGUAAAAUUAUUUAUUAAAUAUGUGUUACAAUAGUUCAAUACUUUUAUUUAAUUUCCUUCAAAUGUUUUAUUUUUUUUUAGUUUUUUUUUUUUUAUUUUCUUGAUAUUGUAAUUACUAGCAUCAGUUAUGUAGACUUUUUAUAUAUUUAUCCCUCUGGUCGAUUCUGAAGCGCCAUGAUCUAUGUUCUAAAAUUAAAGUUUCUAUUUUAUAUUACAGGAAAAUUAUUAUUCUAAGGAUUAAAAGAAACCAAUUUUAUAAUGUAAAUGAGUCUGAAUUACUUUCACACUUUCAAGUUGCAUAAUUAAUGGUUUAUAAGAGACACGAUGCAAUAUUUUAGUUCUCUCUUAUUAAUCGUAAAUGUGUUUAACGUUUCGCUUAUCCUCAAUUUGUUAUUUUUUUUUUUUUACUCUAUCUUCAGAUAAAUUCCAAAUCAUCAAAAUAAAUAACAGAAAUGCAAUUUUGUACAAGAGACAAGUUUUCGCGAAGGGUUCCUCGCGCUAUAUCUGGUACUGCUCCGGGCGGAAUAGAUACAGAUGUAACGCCAGACUGGUGAUGAACGAUUGUGAUAAAAUCGUUGAGGUGGACGCAACACAUAAUCACGUUAAACCUACACUUAAGAAGAUGCCUAACGGGGUUUAUUACAUGGUACGUGCUGCAAGGACUAGAUAAUGUGGACAAUUUAUUAAACAAAGCAAAUUACUAUCUCGCAAAUCAUUCAAUCCAAAGUAAUUUGUUCUGUUGUUAAAAAUAGUGUAUAAAAAUAUUUCUACAUAGUGUUUUUCUAAGAGCCCAGAUGCACUGAAAUUUAUAAAAGUAAACGAGAAAACUGUGAUUUUGUAUAAAGAACACACUUACUCGAAGGCGGCAUCUCGUUACGGUUGGUAUUGUUCCAAACGUACCGUACUCAAGUGUUCAGCCAAACUGAAGGUGGACGAUGGUGGGAUGAUUCUUGACGAAUACGCAGAACACAAUCACCCAAAACCAACACUUAUGAAGAUGCCAAGUGGUGAUUAUAUUAGACUUUAAAACAAUUUAGAAGCCCGUUAGUACGUAGCCUGUGUUACUCUUCAUAUGCUAUUAUAAACAAUAAAGAGUCUUAUUAAUAAAUUUAAAUAUAAGAAUGGCGCAAUAUGUAGAUAAAGGAAUCACAGAAAAGCUGAUUUGCCAAACCUAUAUCCACUAUAAAGCAGAUAUAAUUACCAAUUAUUAUUAUAGCAUAAUUAAUAACCCAUUUCGACAAAAAUUAAAAUAAGAAACAUAUGUGGGUUUAUGUAUGAAAAAUAAUAAAAAAAAAUGAAAUAUAGAUAGUUAAAUAGAUAAACUUGGUAGAAUAACAAAAAUAAAAUUACAAGAAAAGGUCAAAUAUAAGAAAAUAAUGGGCGGCCUUAUCGCUAAAAAAGAUUUCUACCAGGCAAUCUUUGGAUGUAGAAAAGUAAACUUCUUAUAGUUUAGUGAAAGGCUUGAUAAAAUUCUAUCCGUUUUUGAAUACAUUCUAUAUUUUUCUUCAAACAUUCUAUACUUUUCUUUCAGCUUCUCAAAUGUUGAAUGUAAGAAAUCCCUCUGUAGGAUAAGUCCGCCAUUGUAAAUAUUUUUAAUGUGUCCAAUGUAAAGUAUCUACAAUAAAGAUUUUACAAUACAAAGCAUGUAGAAACAUUUUAUUUAUUACGUUAAAAAAAAAAAAGUUUUUUUUAUUUAAAAUGUAGUAUUGUUACUAAAAUUUCGAAAUUUUUAUAUUAUUUACUUUAGUUAGUAUCGUUAUCUUUCUUAAUUUAUUUUAUGACUUACUGCUUUUCUUAAAACAAGUUGUUAUAAUUUACCAAAACUGUCACAAAAUCCCAUUAAAUUUAACUGCAAUGACUAAACUUUUGUAAUAUUUAAAAUAAAUCAUUUUAUCCGUGAUCAGAUUUAACUGGGUUCAUCUUAUAUAGGAUUUAGUGAAACCAAAUUUAUAAGUGGUAAAGACUACAAAAUUGAUUUGGAAAUUGGGAUCCAGUCCAGGAAAUCAAUUAUGUAAGAGUUAAAGAUUAAAAAACUGAUUCUAAAAUCAGGAUUCAGGAGAAAUCAGGUUGAAAUAUUUAAAGACUACAAACCAAAUUAUUUUGAAAUUUCGGAA